rnacentral:rRNA from 1 species
UAGCGGAGGAAAAGAAACCAACUGGGAUUACCUUAGUAACGGCGAGUGAAGCGGUAAAAGCUCAAAUUUGAAAUCUGGUACUUUCAGUGCCCGAGUUGUAAUUUGUAGAAUUUGUCUUUGAUUAGGUCCUUGUCUAUGUUCCUUGGAACAGGACGUCAUAGAGGGUGAGAAUCCCGUUUGGCGAGGAUACCUUUUCUCUGUAAGACUUUUUCGAAGAGUCGAGUUGUUUGGGAAUGCAGCUCAAAGUGGGUGGUAAAUUCCAUCUAAAGCUAAAUAUUGGCGAGAGACCGAUAGCGAACAAGUACAGUGAUGGAAAGAUGAAAAGAACUUUGAAAAGAGAGUGAAAAAGUACGUGAAAUUGUUGAAAGGGAAGGGCAUUUGAUCAGACAUGGUGUUUUUUGCAUGCACUCGCCUCUCGUGGGCUUGGGCCUCUCAAAAAUUUCACUGGGCCAACAUCAAUUCUGGCAGCAGGAUAAAUCAUUAAGAAUGUAGCUACUUCGGUAGUGUUAUAGCUUUUUGGAAUACUGUUAGCCGGGAUUGAGGACUGCGCUUCGGCAAGGAUGUUGGCAUAAUGGUUAAAUGCCGCCCGUCUUG